rnacentral:lncRNA from 1 species
AAUAAGGGCGAGGUCAGUUCGACGCGAGCCGCGGAAAAAUUCGCUUUAAAUUUAUCCACCCGCUCGGUGUUUCCUUUUUCUAUCUACCUAAAAUAUUCAAGAUCUCUCAUCUAGUCGAUGGACGCGCACACACAUACACACUCUCACGCCACACACAUACUCGACUAGACCAGAUCGUUGACACGCUUUGGAUAUAUUUACUACAUACACGUAUCUAUGUGGGAUUGGUACGAUUACGGAAUAGCCGCAUGCGUAUUGAAACAGUUUAGAUGUCUUGGAAAACUAUGGAAUGUCAGAGUAUCAAUUAUGCAGUAUGGAUAUCCACGGACGUUUAGAAGAAAUCGAGAGCCAUCGUGACGAUUGGAUAGCCCAACCUAUUUUUCUACUACUUUGCCAGCAACCUUGAUAAGAAGGUAGACGAUGGAAAGGCAAAGAGGAUAAAGAGGGUAGACGAUGGAAGAGUAAAGGGGAAAGAAUUCGCCCCUGGGGGUGAGACAAUGGAAAAAGUACCGCCAUCUUUAAUUCCGUACCCAACCAUCGCUCGAGCAAUACCCCUCGUCCACCCCCUUAGUCCACUACUUCAAAUACCCCUCCCUUACUCUUGACACUAUCUCCCCUCCUCCCACAAUGAACGAGCUUGGCCCUCGGUGAAAGCAGAAAGAAAAAGUGACUUCGAUUUGACACCGUGUCUAUUUGGUAAUACCUGCGAUAAAUAUUAAAUACAAAACAGCAA